UAAUUGGGUAGCAACAGCAACGUUUUCAAUUUCAAAUAUGUUUUUCUCACGAAGCAACAUUCGGCUUUUGCUAGCAAUCAUCGUUUCGAUCUCGUUGUUCCGUUUUGAUGUGUUGUUGAAUCCAGACUUUUCUUCGAAGUGAAGUAAGGUGGAAGAAGAGGAGUUCUUGGCAAAUAAGAUUAAACUCCAUUGUGUGCUGUGUUGGGAAGUAUUGUAGCUUGAGAAGAUUGAGCUCGGUGGAAGGAAAAAUUGAUGUGCUCUGAAUAUUUCAGAUCCUGUAAUUUUAAAUUUUGGCUGGUAUGCUUUUUGAUUAUCUAAAUACUACAACUGCCAGCACAAAAGAAACUCUACCUUCCUCAAUCGCAAUUGAACGCUUCGAAAUUGAAGGUUGCUCCGCCAUAAUUAAGAUCAUCAAUUGUAAGGCAGGCUGUAAGAUUUUGGCUUAGUAUAUGCAGAUGGAUAACAAGAUUAGUAUAGUUGCUACGAUGUCGAUUCCAUUAGGUUCACGUCAAAUGGCCGGUAAUUUGUAUCUGGUGGAGAAGAUAAUACGGUAAAGGACAAAAUUCUACAACGUACAUAUCAGUCAUGUAUGAAUUUUGUUUUCCUACAGCCCUCAAACCCUCUUAUGCACAAAAUUUAUAAUUAACGAUAUACUUCUUAUUUACUUAGUAGGUUUCUUUGCUAGUAGGAUUUGCUGACGAAGCUUCGAUCUAUUUUUUCUAAUUGUGCAGAUGCAAUAUGUAUUCUCCUUUUAGUAUUCCAAUUUCCUCUUUAACUGAUACAUUCUAUUUUGUGAUUUUCUUGCAUUUGCUUAUAACAUGUUUGACUUUUAUUGCUAUACACAUGCUGGGAUAAGCAAGUACUUUUUUAAACUUUGCCUUAUAUUUUUAUGGAAUCGACCAAGUGUUCAAUCACGAUACCUCAUUAAGAAAAAUCAUUUGAGGAAAUUUAUUUACUCUAUUAAGAACUUUGGUUGAUGCUCAGCUUGAUAAUGAGCCUGAGUUCCAUAUCACAGGUUCAUGUAUUUUUCAGUUUUGCUGUUGCGUAAAUCUCUUGAAAAUGGACGUGAAAGAGACCUUUCGUUAAGGAAAACUUAAAAAUAACCUUAAUGAGCAGUUCUUGAAUGGUGACUUUACUGUUUAUUAUUGGUUGUUUCUAACUUAGUUACAAAGUAAUCAGUAUCGCCUAUUUGCAUACACGUUCUGAAAAUCAGUUCUGUUCCUUGUUACUUUGCUCCUAUCCUUGGUUAUUCGUUUUUUCAAGUGAAAAAAUAAACCUUAUAGAACAAAUUUUGUUGAUGGUGAAAAGUCAAUAGAUACUAAUGCUGCUUUGGUAGAUGUAUGUUUGUAUGCUCCGCUACUACUUACACUGGUCACUUGUGAGGAUUAGGGAAAUAUUUUAAGGUACAUCCCAUUAUUAGAGAAUUUUUUGGUUUUACUGAAGAUCAUAGGUGUUUCAUAGACUUUGUUGAAGAUAAUAGAUAAGUAGCUCAAGCAUAUUUUAUAUACCAAGGCAGCACUAAUUUCUUGGCUAAAGACAAACUUCAUGUAGUUUAUAUGUCAACACUAAUUAAAAAAAUUGAUCUAAUAAUGCGCAUUGUUAAAAUUAUUAAUAUUUUUUCCUCAUUGGUUUUAUGUACCUCACAUUUUUUCAAAGUGAGAAUAUUCUUCUCAAAGUUACUACGAAUCUCGAUUCCAAACAUGUUCAGGAUGAUAGAUCUUUUACUUCCAUAAUUUAGUUGAGUCAGCUGGGAUAGGAGGCAUUUGCGGGGGAUAUGAAUGGAGUAAUGAUAAUGGCUUCCCAUUUCCCUGUCGCUAAUAUCAGCAACUACUUGGCAGAGGCAAAGGCUACAUCUUUUGGACUGAAUUGAUGCAGGAACAAUGGCUUGAGGCAUAACAUUCUAGAAUGCGAUUCUCUUUCGGUUGUAAAUAUGUGACCGGGAAAGAGCAAUACUCCACGGGAGAUAAAAGACACAAUAUAGGAGGCGAAGAUUCAUAUUGAACAUGGUGAUUGCAAGAUUAAACAUUGUUACAGAGAAGCUAAUCAGGUUACAAAUGCGUUGGCUAAAUGGAGUAUAGGAACAUGG